AGGACAAACGCUGGCGGCGUGCCUAAGACAUGCAAGUCGGACGGGGGGCUUCGGCCUCGAGUGGCGGACGGGUGAGGAGCGCGUGGAGAACCUGCCCUGGGAUGGGGGAUAACAGCCAGAAAUGGCUGCUAAUACCGCAUACGACUAUCAGCCGGUAAGGGUGAUAAGGAAAGCCGCAAGGCGUCCUGGGAGGGGUCCGCGUCGGAUUAGCUAGUUGGUGGGGUAACGGCCUACCAAGGCGACGAUCCGUAGCUGGUCUGAGAGGACGGCCAGCCACACUGGGACUGAGACACGGCCCAGACUCCUACGGGAGGCAGCAGUUAGGGAAUUUUGACAAUGGGCGCAAGCCUGAUCGAGUGACGCCGCGUGUGGGAUGACGCCUUUCGGGGUGUAAACCACUCUUCUUGGGGACGAGAACGGACGGUACCCAAGGAAUAAGCCUCGGCUAACUACGCGCCAGCAGCCGC
rnacentral:rRNA from 1 species